GUGGAAAAAAAAAAAAACCCAUAAUGCCUCCCUGCAGGAAAAAAAAAAAAAAAAAAGAAAGAAAAGAAAAGAAGAAAAAAAAAACAACUCUGGUCAGAGGAACUCUGGGUCGUGAAAAUAGGCCACGUGAACACCCUGCCCUAUAGACUUAUGACCCAACGGCUGUCGCGCUUUUGGUGGGCGGGCUAAGAGCCUAAGAGGGCGAGCGUCAUUGGCCAGAGCGCGCACUAAAGGAGAAAGAUGAUUGGUUUGCUUCCAGCCUUAACCGUGAAGAAGCAGGUUGCUAGCACCCGCCUUUACUGCGGCGAAGUGUCAUCGCUGACGUGGUAGGCCUCGUCCAAUCAUUUGGUUAUGGAACAUUCUAAAACUUAGACAAGACGAUUGUGAUUGGCUGGAGAGCAUAAGCCCGCCUCCAGGGUGACGUGUCUGCCUAUGGAUAUCAGUUGCCAGAGAAACCUGGCUUUACUAUGGCGGUUGGAGGGACGGCAGUGGUCACACGUCGGCUGCUGGAAAGAACUGGAUUCUCGUUUCAGGCCAUCAUCAGAAAAGCUAAGUUUGCUGUAUAAUAAGGAUCAGAAGAUCUGAUCCUGGUUGCAGAAUCAUCCCUGAUUACAGAAUCUGGUGGU
rnacentral:lncRNA from 1 species